GUCAAAAACUUUAAAAUGGUUUUAAACUUUUGAUGAGGUAAUAAUACCUCUGGGAAUUUAUCUUUAGGAAGUAAUUAUAGAUGCACACAAGGACCUAAAUACAAGGAUAUCCCUUGCAGUAUAAUUUACAAUACAACAAUACCAACAAGGAAAUCACCUAAAUGUUCUGUUGAUGGAAUGGGGCACACGGUGAGUGCAACACUAGGGAGCCAUUAGCAGUUUUCCUGUCAGAGAACUUUUAAUCACAUAAGAAAAUGCUGAAGGUUCACUGUAGUUGGAAAUGUGGCUAAAAACAUUUAGAAGGCUGUAUAAAUAUUAUAAAUUUAAUUUUGUUGGAAAAAUAGAUAAUUGAAUAGAAAUAUACUGAAAGGAAAUAUAUGUUAACCCUGGAUCACUGUGGACAGUAGGAUUUUGAGUGACUCAAGUUUUCAUGUAUAUGUUAAUAUA
rnacentral:lncRNA from 1 species